rnacentral:rRNA from 1 species
UAAUACAGAGGUGGCAAGCGUUGUUCGGAAUUACUGGGCGUAAAGGGCGCGUAGGCGGUCCGAUAAGUCCCGUGUGAAAUCCCUCGGCUCAACUGAGGAACCGCACGGGAAACUGCCGGGCUUGAGUUCGGGAGAGGGAAGCGGAAUUCCGGGUGUAGCGGUGAAAUGCGUAGAUAUCCGGAGGAACACCGGUGGCGAAGGCGGCUUCCUGGACCGACACUGACGCUGAGGCGCGAAAGCUAGGGGAGCAAACG